rnacentral:lncRNA from 1 species
CCACUUAGAAUGUGCCAGGCAAUUGGCAUUAAUUCACCGAAUCCUUACAAUUUUUUUUUUUCGCGCUCCUGGCACAGAACAUGUCAUCCAAGUUAGGCAUCAUCGUCGCCUGCUCUUGGUGAAGUUUUCUUUUGCGUACUGCGGAGAGAUGCGCUCAUUACCAGCUGGCGGUGGAGUCGCUGAAACGCAAAUGGAUUUGAGACUGAGCGACUCCCAUCUCUAUGGUUGGUAUGUGACCCAUCUAUCCUCUGGAGGACUCAGCAAGGACUACCAGUCACCAGACAACUUUACGCGCACGUGGUCGCAAGGUGAACUUGCUAUUGGUUAAUGGCAGUAAAGCCCGCCCAUCAGCGCUGGUCUGCUCCUUUAAAAGAACGCCAUCGACGCUCCCCUGUCUUUCAGCGCCUGCAGGUUCCGGGAGGUCAGGUUGUAUUCCUGGCGGGUCGUCUGGCUGGGUGGGCCCCGGAGGUCGUGGCUCGGGAGCAGGGAGGCGUAGGGGGGCCGGCCUGCUGUGAUGACAUUCCAAUUAAAGCACGUGUUAGACUGCUGACGCGGGUGAUGCGAACUGGAGUCUGAGCCUGCCCGAGCGGAGCUGGGAGGGGGCUGGCGGGCGGGCGCGCGCACACCCGCUGAUCUAUCACUCUCGUUCUUGUAGCUCCCAGCCGAGGACGUCGGAUGUCAUCGUCCUUGCUGCUUUGCCACCCCAUUCCCGUCAAUAAAGUGGUUUGAACCCAACCCUGGUGUCGGUGUGUGUCGUUGGCGACGCGCUGUCUUUGAGCCCCCGCCGAGCUUCCUCGUGGCGCCGGGGGUCAAUCUGCAGCGCUAGAGCAUGUGCUUGCGCAUAACUGGGGCCGCCUGGCCUCCCGCGGGCGGCCUUUUUAACCGCGAGCGACAAGAAGUAACCUGACUGUCCGGCUGCUAGGCUGGGCAAUUUUCCAGCUGUUUUGCCACGACAGGCCUCAAUCCGUAAUACCAAGGCUGGAAUGGCGUGUUAGGGGGGCGGUGGCUGACGGGGAUACGCGGACUCUUGAUGCGUAAGGAGUGCCCCUCUGCUCCCAUACGUUCCCCAGCCCAGCCUUCCCUGAGUGUAUCGCGCGCGCUGUGCCUUCGCCGUGAGUUCGACAUAAGUCCCAGGCUGUCGCGUCUGCCAUCAGACGCGCAGAUUUAGUUGAAGGCAGCGUGGAAUGGCGUCUGCAGGGCUGUUGUGUACUUGACAUAAACAGAUUCGGUGUGGAACUGCAUUGAGUUAACUCCUGACUAAAGGGUAAUCGACCUGUUUACAAAUAACCAUGCAGGAGUACUGACAAGCAUGGGACUAAAGCUUUGGGCAGGUUAAUCUGUCACUCCUAAACAGUUCAAAAUUAUAGGGCGGUUGUGAAGGUGAAUUAGAUUUUAUAUAUGGUUGGGGACAACAUAGACACCUAGUUACACAGUCCAGAUUCAGUGAUUGGUAAAAGAUCUUCCACAAGGGCUCCAGUGAAAGGUGCAUCAGUUCUGAGUACAGGGCAGCAAUGGUGGGCAAGGAUGCACGUAUGCGUUCACUACAUGGACAUUCGAUGAAUGAAGGUGUCCCGAAUUAACAUUAUACUAGACAAUGAAGGGUGUAAACUGCAGCCCAGGAGCACCACUGCCCUACCCCCUCAGUUACGAACUUUCACUGGAUUCUUUAAAUGUGGGCUGAAGAUAAUGGCACAUAGUUUGAAGGAUGUAGUGAGGAUGGCUUUGUAGCCUUAGGACUGGGCAGUGAUCAACGCAGUAAAUGAAAGCUGCGAUUGCCAGGUGAGGGCCCCGGUGCUCUGUACUCAUUUUAUUGUGCCCCUAUCUGAACAGGAUUCCG